rnacentral:rRNA from 1 species
UACGGGGGGAGCAAGCGUUGUUCGGAUUUACUGGGCGUAAAGGGCGCGUAGGCGGUCAGCACAAGUCAGUUGUGAAAUCUCCGGGCUUAACUCGGAAAGGUCAACUGAUACUGUGCGACUAGAGUGCGGAAGGGGCAACUGGAAUUCUCGGUGUAGCGGUGAAAUGCGUAGAUAUCAGGAGGAACACCGGUGGCGAAGGCGGUGGUCUGGGCCGGAACUGACGCUGAGGAGCGAAAGCGUGGGGAGCGAACAGG